rnacentral:tRNA from 1 species
GGCGGUGUGCGCGUCGGCGAUCAGCGCCGCGGCGGCCACGGCCUGCCGCGCGUGAUCGUCGAGCGCGCCGCGUUCGGGAUGCGCCACCACCA